CGUAACAAGGUUUCCGUAGGUGAACCUGCGGAAGGAUCAUUGUGCUGAUUUCGUGCCUACCGAUUCCGUGGUUAUGCGUUCGUCAACCCCGGCGCGGAACGCGCCAAGGAAAUCUAACCAAGAGAGCCAUGUCGGAGGCCCCGGACACGGUGCGCCCCCGGCGUCGGCGUCUUAUGAAUUUAUUCAAAACAACUCUCGGCAAUGGAUAUCUCAGCUCUCGCAUCGAUGAAGAACGUAGCAAAAUGAGAUACUUGGUGUGAAUUGCAGAAUCUCGUGAACCAUCGAGUCUUUGAACGCAAGUUGCACCCCAAGCCUUCUGGCCGAGGGCAUGUCUGCUUGGGUGUCACAAAUCGUUGUCCCCCCAUCCUCUCGAGGAUAUGGGACGGAAGCUGAUCUCCCAUGUGUUACCCACGCGGUUGGCCAAAAUCCGAGCUAAGGACGCCAGGAGCAUCUUGACAUGCAGUGGUGAAUUCAAUUCUCGUCAUAUAGUCAGAUGUUCCGGUCCAAAAGCUCUUGAUGACCCAAAGUCUUCAACGCGACCCCAGGUCAGGCGGGAUCAUCCGCUGAG
rnacentral:rRNA from 1 species